rnacentral:lncRNA from 1 species
AACAAGACUGCAGAAAUUACUGUUAUACAGUAGUGCAGAUGAAAAGAGAUGCAAAUAAGUUUAAAAUAUGUAGUUGUAAUUAGACUCUUAAUCAACAAAUCAGCAAAUGAAAUAUGUGCGCGCGCGCGUACACACACACACACACACACUUGCACUAUGUAAUUGUGAAACAAACAAGUGGGCGAAGAGGUAGGAUGAGAAGUUGUAUAUAUCUGAAUUUACAUUGAGUCGGAGAUAUGCAACUUCUCAUGCUACUCGAAGUCGUGCUUAUCAUCUAGCAUACAGUAAUAGGCCAACUUACCUUACAUAAGUUGGGCUAUUACUGUAUGCUAGAUGUCAAGCAAUCUUCAUGUCCUUUACUUCCAUAACAGGAGGGAAUGUUUGAAAAUAGGCAAGAUAUCAUGCCAAUUGGACUAAAACUAAGAGAGAUCUCUACUCUUCAUGGGUGAGUCCAGAUUCGCUCUAUAAUAUGAUUUCAAGAGUAUUCUGAUUUGGAGAGAAUCAAGGAAUUUUUGCUAAUUUCUCUCUGAUUCAAGAAAUUAACAUUUAUGGUAAAAGUAAUAUAAUAGUUUAGAAUAGCAUUUUAUUAGGUGACCAUACAGAAUCUCUACAUGUUUCCUAGAGGAAAUAUAAAUGCUAGAAGGUAUAGGGAUGAAGUCAGAUCAUAUUGUUCACCAAUGUGUAAGUGCAAUUGAAGGUUCUUUUAUCCUAUACAGGAUAAUGAUGCUUGACCAAACUGGUAAGCAAAUCUUUCAAGAUCAAACUAUUAUUUAUAUGGAUUGGCCAACCAGACUUCCUAACCCUAUUGAGUUGGGCCAUAUUUAUUCUUCUCAGGACCUUACAGACAUCAGUAAGAAUUUUAAAAAAUGCAUAUAUACUUUAUUAAUGCAAUUACAGAUAACUCUCAUAUAAUAUGGCACUUCUAUAACAUUGUAAUUUUUUAAAUGUGUUAAAUAAAAACAGAGUUGUAGAAGUACAGUGUCAUAUGAGAGUUUCUGCAAUUUUCAGUUCAUGUUAGAGUGAAAUUGUGUUGUAGGAAGUCAUGUAAUAGGAGGGAUACCUGUACUACCAAGAUUAGAUUGACUAUGGUGAUUGAAUCUAUAUAAUAUUAUUAUGCCAUAUUGUUCAAUGAUUAAAAAGUACACAAUCCCAUAUGGAAAAAUAUCUUACCAAUAAUAUGAUAGUUAAGAUCA